ensembl:lincRNA
AUUUUGUAGACUAAGGUCACCCUGAAAUUCUAGAGGCUUAAAUACCACAUACCCACUUAAGGUCUGGCAUAUGAACUUCUCAUUUCAUGUUAAUUAAAAAUCUCAGUGUAACUUUGGGGUAAGAAUAUUUUUCCAGCGUUUUCAGACGCAUUCCCAAGAAUGACAGAGAAGGGGAACUCUCUUGAGAACCAUUCAAUAAAACCAAUUAUCUGGAGAAGUUCAUGAGAAAAAUAUCCAUGAAAAGGACGUGCAUCUGCAGCAAAAGAUAGAGGUGGACAGGGAGGAGACCCAGCCCUUUCAGCCAGCAGCUGGGAGCAGCCGGAGUCCACCAAGAUGCCUAAUCACUAAUAUAGAUCGGGAAGUGGGAAGUGGGGUUGAAGUGGGAAGAUUGAAGUGGGAAGUGAGGGUGACUGUGUGGCUCCAAAGUACAGUAAUAGACUACUUAAUGAAAAUGAAAGUAAUAAAAAUUACGUAACUACAAUAAGGAAAAAGGGGCUUCCCUGGUGGCUCAAUGGUAAAGAAUUCGCCUGCAAUGCAGGAGCUACAGGUUCGACCCCUGGAUCAGGAAGAUCCCAUGGAGGAGGGCAUGGCAUCCGCACCAGCCUCCUUGCCGGGGAAAUGCCGCGGACAGAGGAGUCUGGCAGGUUGCAGUCCAUGGGAUUGCAAAGAGCUGCACAAGACCUAACGACUAAACAACAACAGCAACAAAUCCUGAAAGAUAAAAGAAUGAAGAGGAUGGACGGAGCCUUUGAGAAACAAGGGAAGAUACGGGGCUCUCACCAUCAGCCAUGUGCUGACCUCUCGAGCAGAGGACCCCGGUGUUGGGAGUCAUGCAGACCUGCGUUCAGAUCCUGGAACUACCAGUGGGUCACCUGGAGGAGUCUACUUCUCAGUUAACGUUUUGUGAAAUGGAGAACAUGGGGUUGUGGGCUGCACAUGGAGAGAUGAUGGUUUUCAAAAUGGUAAAGCUCUGUUCGAAAAGGCUAUGGCUUAUGUUAUAUUUUAAUUAGGGUAACUAGAUAAAACACAGCUGGCCGGUUAUUGGAAUUUCAAAUAAGCAAAUAAAUUUUCAUUCUAAGUUUGUCUCAUGCAAUACUUGGGACAUACUUCACUUGAAAAUUAUUCCUUGUCUUGGAAAUUCAAAUUUAACUGGGCUUCUUACAUUUUUGUUUGCUAAAUUUGGCAGCCCUAAUUUUUUUGUUUGGCCCCACCAUGCAGUUUAGAAGAGCUUAGUUCCCUGACCAGGGAUAAAACCCAUACGGAGUCCUAACCACUGUACCACCAGGGAAUUCUCUAAUUGAACAUUUUGUUCACACUAUUUAAUCAGAUCCUAAGACAGAAGAGAGAAUGUUCUGACAGGUUUUUUUUUUAGCAGCCUUAUCAAGAUAUGAUGAUAUCUUAUAAUUCACUCAAUUCAGUUGUUUUGAGUAUAGAACUGUGUAACCAUUAUCACAGUUUAAGUUUAGAACAUUUUCAUCAGCCCAGAAGAAACUCCACACCCACUUCAGUCAAUCUAUAACCCACCCCUGAGCUCCCCCCGCCCCCAGCCCUACACCGGCCUGCUUCAUGUCUCCAUGGAUUUGCCCGUCCUGGACAUUUCAUGUCGAUGGAAUCAUACAACACGUGGUCUUUUGUGAUGGCUUCUUUCACCGAACAUCCUGUUUUCAAGGUUCAUCCGUGUUACAGUAUACAUCAGCAUUUCGUUCCCUUUAAUUGCCAAAUCAGAUCCCAUUGUUUGGAUGAACCAAAUUCUGUUUAUCCGUUUAUCAGCUGAUGAAUAUAUGCACCAUCUCUACUUCUUGUCUAUUAGAAAUAGUGUUGCUACGAACAUUUGUGUUCGUUUUCAUGAAGAUGUAUGUUUUAAUUUUUUUUGAAUAUAAACCUAAGAGUGAAAUUAAAGGGUCAAGAUGUAACCCUGUUGUUACUGUUCAGUCACUACGUUGUGUCUGACUCUGUGGGCACGUGAACCGCAGCACGCCAGGCUUCCUUGUUCUUUGCUGUCUCCCAGAGUUUGCUCAAACUCAUGUCUGUCGAGUUGGUGAUGCCAUCCAGCCAUCUCAUCCUCUGUUGCCCUCUUCUUCUCCUGCCCUCAAUCUUCCCCAGGGUCAGGGUCUUUUUCAACGAGUCAGCUGUUUGCAUCAGGUGGCCAAAAGUAUUGGAGCUUCAGCUUCAGCAUGAGCACGUAAACUUGACAUUUAACUUUUUAAGGAACUGUCAAGCUACUUUCCAAAGUGGCUACACCAGAAACAUCUGAGGGCUGCAAUCUCUCCUCAUCCUCAUCCACUCUUAGCAGUGUGGGUCUCUAGGGCUCUAACCAUCUAGUGAGUACAAAGUGGUAUUUUAUUGUCAUUUUGAUUUGUAUUUCUUUAAUGACUAAUGAUUUUUAGUACCUUCCCAUGUGUUUCUUGGCUAUUUAAAUAUCUUCUUUGGAGAAAUGUCUAUUGAGAUCCCUUGCCCAUUUAAAAAAAUGGGUUAUUUGUCUUUUUACUAUUGAUUGUAAGAGCUUUUCAUAUAUUCUGGAUACAAGUCCCUUCUCGGAUAUAUGAUUUGCAAAUGUCUUUUCCCAUUCUAUGAGUUGCCUUUUCACUUCUUGCUGGCUUCAUUUUCAGCACAAAAGGUUUUCAUUUUCAUAGGCCAGUUUGUUUAUUUUUCCCUUUUGUUGCUUGUGCUUUAUCUAAGAAGUCAUGCCUAUCUGAAAAUCACUAAGAUGUACUUUUUUGUUUCUGUUGCUGACAGGUUUUUAAGACCUUUUACUUACCCAGGAUUUAGAAAUCUUUUUGUUCCUAAAUGCAGGUUUAUCAGGCUCUAAAAUUUGAGCCCUUUCUUCUGGCCCCCACUAACUUACUCUAACCCAUUUUAAUUAUUUCUGCUAUGAAUGAGACUAGGGGGCAGAAUGAAGUGGGGGAAGGGAGGAAUGUGUUAUUUAUAAAUAA